GUGAAAACAUACGCAGGUCCUCUUUACUCAGGGCGAAGAGCUCAGCACCAGUGAGUCUCCCCAGCAGUGUUACUGUCCUGAAUGGAGAGAGAGAUAAGGGACAGUAAGGUGGUCAGAAGUGUUACUGUCCUGAAUGGAGAGAGAGAUAUGGGACAGUAAGGUGGUCAGAAGUGUUACUGUCCUGAAUGGAGAGAGAGAUAUGGGACAGUAAGGUGGUCAGAAGUGUUACUGUCCUGAAUGGAGAGAGAGAUAUGGGACAGUAAGGUGGUCAGAAGUGUUACUGUCCUGAAUGGAGAGAGAGAUAAGGGACAGUAAGGGGGUCAGAAGUGUUACUGUCCUGAAUGGAGAGAGAGAUAAGGGACAGUAAGGUGGUCAGAAGUGUUUACUGUCCUGAAUGGAGAGAGGUAUGGGACAGUAAGGUGGUUCGAAAUGUUACUGUCCUGAAUGGAGAGACAGUAAGGUGGUCAGAAGUGUUACUGUCCUGAAUACAGAGAGAUAGGGCAGAGUAAGGUAAGGUGGUCUUCAUUAUGGCCAUGCUAGAAAGGAUAGACGUGUGACAGAAGUAUAGUGUAUAUCAAGUAUACUGUAGUAGAUUGAACUAGCUCCACUACACCCACUCACGGCUCAGUGAAGCCCUUCCCUCUCAGCCA